rnacentral:rRNA from 1 species
UACAGAGGGUGCGAGCGUUAAUCGGAAUUAUUGGGCGUAAAGGGUGCGUAGGUGGCUAUUGAAGUCAAAUGUGAAAGCCCAGGGCUUAUCCUUGGAAUUGCGUAUGAAACUGAAUAGCUAGAGUGCAGGAGAGGAAAGUGGAAUUUCCGGUGUAGCGGUGAAAUGCGUAGAUAUCGGAAGGAACACCGGUGGCGAAGGCGGCAUCCUGGACCGACACUGACGCUGAGGCGCGAAAGCUAGGGGAGCAAACGGG